GCAGUGGGGAAUAUUGCGCAAUGGGGGGAACCCUGACGCAGCAACGCCGCGUGAAGGAAGAAGGCCUUCGGGUUGUAAACUUUUUUGAUUGGGGAAGAAAAAAAUGACGGUACCCAAGGAACAAGCCACGGCUAACUACGUGCCAGCAGCCGCGGUAAAUACGUAUGUGGCGAGCGUUGUCCGGAAUUACUGGGUGUAAAGGGCGUGUAGGCGGGAUUGUAAGUCAGAUGUGAAAUUCCAGGGCUUAACUCUGGAGGUGCAUCUGAAACUAUAAUUCUUGAGUGCUGGAGAGGAAAGCGGAAUUCCUAGUGUAGCGGUGAAAUGCGUAGAUAUUAGGAAGAACACCAGUGGCGAAGGCGGCUUUCUGGACAGUAACUGACGCUGAGGCGCGAAGGCGUGGGGAGCAAACAGGAUUAGAUACCCUGGUAGUCCACGCUGUAAACGAUGGAUACUAGGUGUAGGAGGUAUCGACCCCUUCUGUGCCGGAGUUAACACAAUAAGUAUCCCACCUGGGGAGUACGGCCGCAAGGCUGAAACUCAAAGGAAUUGACGGGGGCCCGCACAAGCAGUGGAGUAUGUGGUUUAAUUCGAAGCA
rnacentral:rRNA from 1 species